GUGUAUGCCUGUCUUCAGAGGAACAGAGUCUAAAUUUUGUUGAUACAACCUUUUUUUUUCUAGAAGCCCUUGUCUACUUUUAAUCUUCACUGCAGCUCUGCAACGUCUUGCCAGCUCUCAUGCCAUCCUCUCACAAGUCAUCCGGUACCAGGUCUGGAUUCCCCAACAACAACCCUACUAGAUUGUGACCAGGAUUGUUUACCUACCCCCUUCAAAACCCAGUUUCUCCAUGCAACUAAUGCAGCUGGCCAUGGAGUUCCAGGCUUCCUGAAUUUGCACAUCUGGAUUAAGCAAUCUGAUUUUAAUUUUUUUUGAAUAAAUUGUAUUUAGUUUA